GGCACUGCUAUCAUGGGGCACUGGUAACAAAUAAAUAUCACUUUGGAGGCCAUGUGCAGAUCAGAUUUGGAAGUGACCAAGACUGGAGGCAGGGACACCAGAGUUUUCUGUUAAAAACUGGUCCAUGCAAGAAAAGAUGACUCCUGAAAUAAGACAGUGAUCAUUAGGAUGAAGAGGAAGAGAAGAUUUGAGGAAUACUUAGAACAGAAUUUACUGAAUUUACUGGUUGAAUUGAAUGUGAAGAGGAGAUGAAUAAAGAAGAAAACACCCUCAAAGGAACAAAUAUGAAACAAUCUCUGGAAAAUGGAAUUUGAUUUUGAUUCAACAACAGGAGAAUUCUACUGUUUUUCUCCAGCAGCUCCACGAUAAAAGUGAAUUACACACUUCUUGAGGGUGGUGACAGAUAUUAUCUUUCAACCCUACUCAUCAUGAUGCAAUUGAAAAGUGGAUGAGUUGAUUUGCUGAAGGUUGAAUUCUUGCAGGAGGCAUGAUGAAGAAGAAAAGCUUCACUUCUCUGGAGACAGGAAGUCUGAAUUCUACUCUGUGGCUGCCACUUACAAGUACAUAGGAACUGAAAACAAGGACACCAUGUGAACUUGUAUGGCCACUUUCAACGCUGAGCAGUGGCAGAUGCUUUUGGUACUUUGCAUCUCUUCCUCUCGGCCCCUUACUGAUUUCAGCCACUGUGUCAGUGGACAAUCUCUCAGAGUUCAGAGACUCAUCUCUUGCUGGCAGCUAUCUCCUGUUUUCCUGGGAUUUGGCUCAGGAAAGAGGACACUGGAAGAGGCAGGGAUUUUUGUCCUUGGGCAAUCAUUAACCAAGGACAAUGGGAAGCUGUUGGAGAAAAUUUUCAGCCUCUUGUCUUUGGCCAGAAGUGGGAGAGGUGGAAGGGGAUGACUGCAGGGCGUUUGGUUUGCUUCUCAGAGGGCCCGGCAGAAAAAACCCACAUUUAUAACACAGCCUUAUGUUUCCUUUCCUUCUUCUCACUCUUCUGCUCAUUUAUUUCAGCUUCCUGAUAUCUCCUUCCAAAUAAACCACUUGCCCCCAAGUCUAA
rnacentral:lncRNA from 1 species